UUUCCUGUAGCUCAGUCAGUAGAGCACUGUGCUAGAAACACAGAGGUUGUGGGUUCAAACCACAGGAAAU